GCAGAGGUAUCGAAGCCCGGUCAACCGAGAGGGACUCAAGAUCCAUAAAUAGGAAAUCCCUUCUCUCAGGAGUUCGUGGGUUCAAAUCCCACCCUCUGCA
rnacentral:tRNA from 1 species